GCUGUCAGUCUCAGACCUUAUAUGGAAAUGGGACCAUUGCACUCCGGAAGUGAAGGGGGCGCUAUUUCCUAUAUUUUCCGUUUCUUAUGUAUACAUAAGAAAUUUAAUUGAGCAAAAGUCAAUAAACAAAUUAAUUAGGUUCACAGAAGCAUAUCAACCCAGUUUGUUACAACCAGGAUUGUUAAACAGAUACAAGCAAUAAUUCACAUUUUUAUUUUUACGGUUGCCAUGUAUAUUAUUCUGAGACGUUUUGUUGGUAGAGUUUUAUAUUUAGGAAAAAAUCUGGUUAAACUAUUUAGUCUUCCAAGGUGGAAAUAUUUCUUCAACUCUAAAAUGAUAAAAUAAAACUCUUUCAUAGAAUCACAAUAUCAAUAAUUUGUGCGUCAAGUGAAACACUUAGCAGGCUACAGGUAAAUGUUAUCAUUUAGUUUGGUUUAGAAUAAUUAUUGCACUGUCAAUAAAUGACUUCUAAUCGAUGUUCUUAGUUACCAGAGGAAAACAGUAAGGCCUUCAUGAGCUCAGAGGGUCAAACUGACAAAAAACAAGAUGGACGCUCUGCUAAAAUAUUUCUUGCCAUCUUUCAUGUUCUUUCAGCAAACAGUUGAGACAGAGUCGUUUUUGGUUUCACCAUUAUUUACCUGCUAUUUUACCCGCCACUGAAAAUAUUCUUAAAAUAUUGUCUGUUGUUCUGCAGCUCAUGUGACCAAACCAGCUGAAAAGAUGAAAAGUUAAAACAGUCAACAGUUAAAACUUGAGUUGAGUUAAAACUCAAGUUAGAAUGUUAAGUUUUAACAUUUUAACUCAACAACCUCUAACUAACUGGUUGUACACAACCUCUGGUUGGGUAACCCAAAGAUCUCUGGGUCUAAAAAGAUAAAGUCUCUGAGAAUAGUUCUUAAAGAUAUAGCCAGUGUUUUCAGCAAAAUUGAGCUGACUGUCCAGGAAUGACAAGGAAUUUAAAAUUGACCACAGUUUCAACAGGUUGGCCAUCGAGUGAAACUGGAAUCACUUUCAGGUUUUGUUUAUGUCAUUUAAUUAGCUCUACUUCCUUAAGAAAAUGAAAAGGUAUGUUCUUUAGUGAGGAAAUUUAUCUUUUACGGUUCCAGUAAUAAUAAAUAAUAAAGACUUUGUGGUAUUCUGAUUUAAUAAUGUAAUUACAUUAGUUGUGUUACCACCCCACGCCACUAGAGGCAGUAUCAGACCCGAAAAUAUCCUAUUAAGGAGCAGAUGUAGAAGUUCACAGAAAGCUACAGAAUCUGUUAAGAACUGUGAGCUGCACUGAAGUAAAUAAGAGAGAGAAGUUCAAAAACAUGCUGAGAGUGAAAAUCCUUCCUAAAGAUGAA